UGUAUGUGUGUGUGUGUGUGUGUGUGUGUGUGUGUGUGUGUGUGUGUGUGUGUGUGUGUGUGUGUGAGUGGGUGUGCCUGCUCAUCAAAUAUGGAUCAUUCCCGGGAUUAAGCUGAAGGAAGGUGUCGGCAGGAGGCAUCGUCAAAUAAACACAACUGACACCUCCAAGCUUAUUUUACGCCGUCUCCCACCUGAGCCAGAACUCGACUCAAAAGAAAAGUGGACAGUUUCUAACAGCAUAUGCCUCGGUUCUGUCUGUCCCGAUCUCCCCAACGUCGACGGGCGCCUCAUCGCAGUGCAGAGAGGUGCUGCUGUGUGAGGGUUCCCACCUUCACCAGCAGUGCAUAACUUGCCGGGACAAGAGCGGAAACCAGGACUCCACUCGUAGCAACAUGUAUCCGGAGAGUGCCGUUACACAUCUGUCACGCAAGUGCUAUGACAUAUCCUUUUUGCCUUUUUUUUGUAGUUUUGUAGUUCCCUGCGCCACUGCUGCCAACCCCCGUGUCCCCUUACCUUGCCUUAUCGCUAAACAGUUUACUCUGUGGUGCCAGGCUGUCCUCUGUAGCGUUAUUGUGGAUUAACAAAUGGCUGAGCCACAAGAGCUAAUGGGAACGUGUCGAGUGGUGAACACACAAGCACUGGGUGGGGGACAAACCUCGCAGAAAAGCCUACAGGAAACAGCCUACUUUUCCUUUCGUGUUGUUUGUGGUCAUUGGUAAGCAGGGCAUGAUCAGACAGAGAGCAGGUUUGAACUGAUGUGAAACAGGCAUCUCCUUGCCACCUGUUGUCUGCGGUCACGUUGAAACGGAGCCCUGCUCGAACACCACUUCCUCCCUUUUUCGAGGUUAUGAGUGUACAUGACGACGAACUGGAACCGUGCAAAAUGUCUAGAACAGAUGCUCAACUUCCUGUUGGCCUUCCGGAGCCAUUUAUGUCAAAGAAAACGCAGGGUUUAUAGUUUAUGCACAACAACUAGAAUACAAAACCGUGCUGCCAAUCCGCAAAACCCAUAACUCUGGACACUACUUCUGUUUUUUUGUUGUGAGUCCUUUAUCUUAAAGUUUGUUUUUGUCUGUAUGUAACAAGAUACAUGGUCUUAAAUAAUAAAGUCUUUAAAGAUUA